CGAAGGAUGCAAGCGUUAUCGGAUUCAUUGGGUUUAAAGGGUGCGUAGGCGGCCCGGUAAGUCAGUGGUGAAAUCUCGCAGCUUAACUGCGAAACUGCCAUUGAUACUGCUGGGCUUGAGUACAGAUGCUGUGGGCGGAAUAUGACAUGUAGUGGUGAAAUACAUAGAGAUGUCAUAGAACACCGAUUGCGAAGGCAGCUCACAAAACUGUAACUGACGCUGAGGCACGAAAGUGCGGGGAUCAAACAGGAUUAGAUACCCUGGUAGUCCGCACUGUAAACGAUGAUCACUCGCUGCUGGGUAGCAAUAUCCAGUGGCUUAGCGAAAGCGAUAAGUGAUCCACCUGGGGAGUACGCCGGCAACGGUG
rnacentral:rRNA from 1 species